rnacentral:lncRNA from 1 species
UGUACUGCUUAGUCACAAGUAACUACCAGUGAAGAUAUUUAGAUCCAUAUGUAGCUCAGUUGGCCCUUAACUAGAAAUAUUUCAAUCCAUUUUCCAGGUCUUGAAGCAGGAUGUCUGGAAUACGGGCAUACAUUAAGAAUACCUGCAUUACUUUUACUUAAAUUCAAGUAACAGAGAAAAUAAAGGUCAUAUGAACAAGUGUUUAUUGUCAAAAAAGACAAAGAAACAAGCUGCAUUAUGAAUGGAUAAAAAAAUGUAGGGAAUUGAAUUUACUCCCAGUGAAGCCUAUGGCAAAAUUCUUGCUUUCUACAAUGGUUUGGGAAUAAUUAGAGAUGUGACAUUUCAGAAAGUUCUAAGGCCUGGCUUGGAAAAGCAUCUCACAGUUACUGAUGCUUCUCUGAUGAUAUCCCUCAUCCAAAAUACUUUUUGAAGGGGAGACAAAGACUUUUUGGAACGUAAUAGUGUUGAAAGACACAGGAGGUGGUAAGUGAACAGACAAUGCAUCCUAGUUAACAAUCUGAUACCAGCCAAAAGACCUAUGAUUUGGGGC